AACGAACGCUGGCGGCGUGGCUAAGGCAUGCAAGUCGAACGGUCUAGAGGUUAGCAAUAGUCUCUAGAUAGUGGCGAACGGGUGAGGAAUACAUGGAUAACGUACCCUAGACUCAGGGAUAGCGGCGGGGAAACCCUUUGCGAAAGUGCCGGUAAUACCUGAUGACCCCGUAGGAUCGCAUGAUCCAUCGGGCAAAGUUACGGCGGUCUGGGAUCGGUUCAUGCCCUAUCAGCUAGUUGGUGAGGUAAC
rnacentral:rRNA from 1 species